CCGGAAUCCUACGGGAGGCAGCAGUGGGGAAUAUUGGGCAAUGGGCGCAAGCCUGACCCAGCAACGCCGCGUGAAGGAAGAAGGCCUUCGGGUUGUAAACUUCUUUUCUUUAGGGACGAAGAAAGUGACGGUACCUAAGGAAUAAGCCACGGCUAACUACGUGCCAGCAGCCGCGGUAAUACGUAGGUGGCAAGCGUUAUCCGGAUUUACUGGGUGUAAAGGGCGUGUAGGCGGGAUUGCAAGUCAGAUGUGAAAACCAGGGGCUCAACCUCUGGCCUGCAUUUGAAACUGUAGUUCUUGAGUACUGGAGAGGCAGACGGAAUUCCUAGUGUAGCGGUGAAAUGCGUAGAUAUUAGGAGGAACACCAGUGGCGAAGGCGGUCUGCUGGACAGCAACUGACGCUGAGGCGCGAAAGCGUGGGGAGCAAACAGGAUUAGAUACCCUGGUAGUCCACGCUGUAAACGAUGGAUACUAGGUGUGGGGGGUCUGACCCCCCUCCGUGCCGCAGUUAACACAAUAAGUAUCCCACCUGGGGAGUACGAUCGCAAGGUUGAAACUCAAA
rnacentral:rRNA from 1 species